rnacentral:rRNA from 1 species
AGACGUCUACAUUAGAUACCCGCGUAGUCCCAGCCGUAAACUAUGCGCGUUAGGUGUAUCGGUGACCACGAGUUACCGAGGUGCCGAAGGGAAACCGUAGAAACGUGCCGCCUGGGAAGUACGGUCGCAAGGCUGAAACUUAAAGGAAUGCGGGGAGCACCACAACAGGUGGAGCCUGCGGUUUAAUUGGACUCAACGCCGGGAAGCUCACCGGAUAGGACAGCAGAAUGAUUGCCGGGCUGAAGACCCUGCAUGACUAGCUG